rnacentral:rRNA from 1 species
GAUGAACGCUGACAGAAUGCUUAACACAUGCAAGUCAACUGUGGCGGACGGGUGAGUAACGCGUAAAGAACUUGCCUCACAGUUAGGGACAACAUUUGGAAACGAAUGCUAAUUCCUGAUACUGUGAGAGAGCUUUGCUUCCCAUUAGCUAGUUGGAGAGGUAACGGCGCACCAAGGCGAUGAUGGGUAGCUGGCCUGAGAGGUUGAUCGGCCAAAAGGGGACUGGGACACGGCCCUUACUCCUACGGGAGGCAGCAGUUGGGAAUAUUGGACAAUGGACCAAAGUCUGAUCCAGCAAUUCUGCGUGCACGAUGAAGUUUUCGGAAUGUAAAGUGCUUUCAGUUGGGAAGCGGUACCAACAGAAGAAGUGACGGCUAAAUACGUGCCAGCAGCCGCGGUAAUAC